rnacentral:rRNA from 1 species
CAGUUAAAAACGCUCGUAGUUGGAAUAAAACAUGGUUUUCUAUUUUUUUUAUUUUAAAAACGGUAAAAAAGUAUAGAAUAUCAUUUUUUUAAUUUUAUAUAUCUCCUAAAAAAAGAUAGAUAGUAUUUACUUUGAAUAAAUUAGAGUGCUUUAAGCAGAUUGAGAUUUAAAUUUUAAAUCUUUUUUGACGUUUGAAUAAUUUAGCAUAGAAUAAAAUAAUAAGAUUUGAAAGAUAAGAUUUGGUAAUUAUGUAGCAAAUAAUGAUAAAUAGGAAUAGUUGGGGGUAUUUGUAUUGAAUAGUCAGAGGUGAAAUUCAAGGAUUUGUUCAAGACAAACAUCAGCGAAAGCAUUUACCAAAGAUAUUUCCAUUAAUCAAGAACGAAAGUUAGGGGAUCGAAGAUGAUCAGAUACCGUCGUAGUCCUAACCAUAAACAAUACCAACCAAAGAUAAGAGGUUGUAAAAAUUAUAAGAAGAUUUUUUUCUUUUUAUAAAACCAACUCCUUUUGAAUUUUAGAGGGUAAACCAUU